rnacentral:lncRNA from 1 species
ACUUGCUUGGGGGAAACCAGCUGCCAUGUUGUGAGAUGCUCAAGCAGCUGUAUGGAGGAGCCCAUGUGGAAAAAAACUGAGCCCCCCGCACAACCGAUAUUCCCUUGCCAGGAGUGCGGCAAGCCUCCCUGGAAGCAGACUCUUCAGCACCAGUCAAGCUUUCAGAUGCUGCAGCCAUGGGCAAUGACUUUGCUGCAAUCUUAUGAGAGACUAAGCCAGAACCACCCAGCUAAGUGGCUCCCACAUUCAUGACUCACAAAAACUGUGUGAGGACACAUGGUGAAUAGAGGGCUUGCUGGCAAUUGGUUCACAAGCUGAGGAGGGCACAAAGGCCAGAUAUUUCGUCUGAAGAGUUCACAGGCUAUUAAAAACAUUAACAAGGUUUUACUGCCUCGCCUAGGAUGGAAAUAAUUGCUUUAAAGUGAACUGGCAUUACAGUGAACACGUCAAGACUACCUACUUGGAAGCUAAAGGAGACAGAAACAGAAAACACGACUCCUGAAUCAUGUUCCAUUACUUUAAUCUCUAAACACCGCUCCGUUUAAGCUAAAGAGAUAUAAUGGUGCAUUUGACAGAUGCCUUCACAUCAAGAUGAGAUAGGGCCCUGAAAGUCGCAUGUUGAACCUUUCUUACCAUCUACGAGGAUGUCACUCAAAAUCUCUUCUCAAUUCCUCUUCACUGGCUGAUUACACAAUACAGAGUCAUUCCUAGUGCAGCCCGACCCUCUCCCCAGGUGAACCUUGUUUUACACAAAACACCUGUGUGUAAAUAACCUGGUAAUCAUUCAAGUUGUAUUCUAAAUGCACCACAGAGAUCUCACUUUUUAAGGAACACUGAAAUAAAUGCUUUAGCGAAGCAGAAUAGCCCUUUUGUAAUGUAAACAAUAUAAGCCUAGAUAAAGCUUCCAAUUUACCUAAGUUCAGAUUUUUGCAUAUUGGGUUUCGUUAAAGCAGCACAUAUCUGUAAAAGAAAAUAUUUUAAGCCUCAGCCCUUUGCCAAUCAUAAUUGUUUUUAAAAAUCUCAUUACAAUAAAACCCAUUAGUUUGAAUAAUUAAAUACCAAAAAAUGCUUUCCGCCUAUAUUGAAAUUUCUGAUUUUAAUAGAAAAAAACAACAGAAUGACUGUUUUUAAGUUUCUAGUUCAAUCUUAUUUUAAAAUGACAAACAGUAUAAUGACUAACAUCAUGCAGAUAGUACACUGCAGAGUGGGGGAGUGACUAACGAAAUAUGGCCAUGAUCUAUCUUUAGGACAAUAGAGGACAAAUAAAACGGAAUAGAACCAGCUGGGCCCCGUGGCUCACGCCUGUAAUCCCAGCACUUUGGGAGGCUGAGGUGGGUGGAUCACCUGAGGUCAGGAGUUCAAGACCAGCCUGGCCAACAUGGUGAAACCCCGUCUCUACUAAAAAUACAAAAAUUAGCCAGGUGUGGUGGCGCGUGCCUGUAAUCCCAGCUACCUGGGAGGCUGAGGCAGGAGAAUUGCUGCAACCUGGGAGGUGGAGGCUGCAGUGAACCGAGAAAGCGCCAUUGCACUCAAGUCUGGGUGACACAGCGAGACUCCGUCAAAAAAAAAGAAAAAAGAAAAAAAGGAAUAGAACCAGGUCUGAGUGCUAAAACCUUGGAGAAGGUACAGUAGCAGCUAAACGGGCAAUGUGUUAUUGUUACAACUUGACAACUAUGCAGGUCCACAAAGGAAUGGAAGCUGAGAAAUGUGGCGUAACACUUUCAAUGUCACGUGGAUUCUAAGCAGAGAGGUCAGAAUUCAAAUUCAGAUUUCUGCAUCUGAAAUAAAUGCUCUUAACCCCUCUGCCUACCAUUUGAUUGAAACUUAAAUUGUAGAUGUUUGAACAUUUUGAUUGACAAGGAUGGAUUUUCAAAUGGUUUAACUGAAAACCUCUCUCUACCACACAGAAAUCAAAGUGGGAAAAGGUAGCCAUGACCCACGGUGACCUGAGUCUGUUUUAUAGGACCAGAAAGAGCCCCAGGCUGUUUUUUCUCUUCUGCCCCACAUGUUUCCACGCUACACCCACCCACUUUUGGAUGUACUCUGCACAGUCGCCUUUUUAUUCAGGAAUCUUUAGGGGGCACCAUCCGUUCACCAGGCCCUGUGUGACACGCUGGAGUUACCAACCUGAGUACAACUUAGUCCCUGACCUUGAGAAGUCCACAUUAUUAUCCUUCAGGGAACAAAGCAAGAGUAUAGAAAUUGCAUGAGCAGAAAAUCAUUUCAGGGAUGGAUCCAACUGCCUUUGCACAUGUGAGAAUGGCCAUGCCAACUUAGCAUACCCCCUCAAAGAGGGGGUGAAGGGAGGGCACCUGAGCCCCACUGCCUGUCUCUCCCCAUCCUGUGUUCUGUCCAGGACCUGCUGAUUGCCACUGUCUCUUCACCCCGGCAGCUAAAGAAAGUUGCAUGGGACGUGGCAGGGAAGGAAAUCAAAAGUCUAGAACCCACAUGGAAUACUGGUCAUUCUUCAUCUCUCAUUUGUCGCUCUAACAACCUGUCAUUUCACGGCUCAAGUGAAGCCAUGUUUCACUGUAGUUUAUUCUCUCAGAAGCCGAAGCCCCCAUGCUCUGGUUUCUAUCCCACAUACUGUAUUUAAUUUUAGCAAAAUCCCAGUAAAUAAAAUAAUUUGGAAAAAUAUGGAA